rnacentral:lncRNA from 1 species
CUCAGCAGGGUCAUGGUUCACUGUUGGCAAUCCCUCAGAGUGCGCUUGCUGUACCAGUUGUGUAAAUGAAGCAGUAUUACCAGGAGCAAGGCACCCUUGGCACUAAAUUCAAAAUGGCCCAAUGAAGCUGAUAUCCAGCUGUUACAGGAGAGCAGGAAAUAAACCCACAGGACACAGGCUUAGUGCAUGGGAUUUCAGCUGGUCUACCAAUCUGUGCAGAACAAGGGAUCCUGCAUCUUGUACUGGGCACGUGGCAGAAGUUCAAAAUAUCCACAGAAGUAUGAUUGCUGCAGCACUGCAAAUGUUGUGA